rnacentral:sRNA from 1 species
UGACGAUCGUACGACUUAUUUGGGCUGC